GCGCUUACUUUGGCAGCAUAUAUACUAAAAUUUGAACUAUACAGAAGAUUAACAUGAUCCCUUCACAAAAAUGACACUCAAAUUGGUGAAGUGUUCCAUAUUUUU
ensembl:snRNA U6 U6 spliceosomal RNA